rnacentral:lncRNA from 10 species
GCGCCUGGACUCGCCCUCCCCCUGGACUCCGCCUCCGCUGAUGGGCCCCCUCUCCGCCUUGUACCUCCAUGCCCUGCCGCCUGCGCCCUGCUGGUUGGUCCCGCGUUCAACCGCUGGCGACUGGGGAAGUGCGGCUGCUGCGUUCCCAUUUUACAGGCCAGACAACUGAGGACCGCAUGCACCAGCGCCUGUUCUCAGGUGUUGCACAGCAGAUGAAGUCCAGGCUGCGGGAACUCCCCGUCGGGACAUCUCAUGCAGGUCUGGAAUAAGGAGACUCCCCAGAAGAAGCCACUGCCUGAGCUGAAUCUUGAUGGAUGAGUAGGAGUUGGCCAGCUAAAGAAGGAGGAGAAGGGUGUCCUGGACUCUGGGAACAGCAUGUGCAAAGAGGCACAGAGGCAUGAAACAGCUUUGUAUGUGUGUACAGGGAACUCCACGGAGUUGGGUAUUAGUAGAGCAGAAAGAACGUCUGUCCAGAAAUUCCUCCCUCCUUUCAACUAAGAACAGGGAACGGCCCAGGAUGGGGCUGGGAGGGCAGACAAGCACUGGGUCACAGGCCACUUGUUGUCCUGGGGUAUGCAGAAGGACUAUUGGGCGUUCCCCACCUGCACCCCAGGCUGCCUGGCACACUCCUACCCAUCCUUCAAGGUCCCUCGCUGCAAACCCAAACAAGCCAUGUGCUGUCUCUGCCCUCUAAACUGAGCCCUCCUACAGGGCAGGGGCGGUAUCCAACACAUGGUGUGUAUCCCUGACAAGGCUGGGCAAGAAGCAGGGUCCCAGCUCCAAGACCUUGCUGGAAGAGCCCCUCAGGCGGAACAUAACGGCCUCUGCGCCCUCUGGCGGAUCCCUCGAGAAAUUAGAGUGCUCCCCAAGCCAACAGCCCCCCUGUGGCUCUCAGGCCCAGACACUUUCUGAGAUGGGCACUGGCAGAUGCCACCUAAUCCGCUCCUGCCCAAGAAACUGAGCAGUGAUGACCCCAAAGAAUACCAGGGAGUCAGUGGCAAAACAGCCUCUUGCUGCUCUGUUUCCGAGACAUUCCCAGUCAUCUUCCAGAGUGCAAGUCACAACCCUCUCUGAGCCUGUUUCCUCCUUUGUGAAAGAAAUAUAGCAAAAGCAGCCAGUACCCCCAGCACAGUGCCGGCCACUCCCUUCUCCCUGGAGACCUCCAGGUCUGGCUGGAUUUGGUCAGAAUUUGUUUGAAGCUCUAAAACGGUCUAAGAAUCUCCCUUUGGAGACUUUGCCCUUACUGGGCAGAUGUACAUUGACAAGAGUUUCAGCUCUUAGCUGACUUUCU